rnacentral:tRNA from 1 species
GGUCCCAUGGCCUAUUGGUUAGGAUAUUAGACUUUGAAUCUAGUAACUUGAGUUCAAAUCUCAGUGGGACCU